GCUUCUAUCGUUUAGCGGUUAAAGACAGUGCCUUUUCGAGGCAUAAACGUAGGUUCAAAUCCUACUAGAAGUA
rnacentral:tRNA from 1 species